rnacentral:tRNA from 1 species
GCGACGGUAGCUCAGCUGGAUAGAGCAUCGGUUUUCUAAACCGACGGUCGGGAGUUCGAGCCUCCCCCGUCGCGCCA